CGCACAUUGCGCCCCUUGGUAUUCCAUGGGGCAUGCCUGUUCGAGCGUCAUUUGUACCCUCAAGCUUUGCUUGGUGUUGGGCGUCUUGUCUACCUCUUCAGCGGGUAGACUCGCCUUAAAGUAAUUGGCAGCCAGUGUUUUUGGCAGUAAGCGCAGCACAUUUUGCGUCUUAGUCCCUAAACAGUGGCAUCCACAAAGCCUCUUUCUCACUUUUGACCUCGGAUCAGGUAGGGAUACCCGCUGAACUUAA
rnacentral:misc_RNA from 1 species